GCGCACUCGCUCGCUGGUCGAGUGGGGGAGAUGAUGCCGUCAACUCUCUAUGGGUCUGUGUGUGCAAUGCUGCGAUCAAGCACAUUCAUAUGUCCAGUUACCCAAGCGAAACAGUGGAGUUUGAAUGAAUGAUGAGACCACGUACGAGAUGCAGAACUGGGUUGCUUCUGACCCAGAAUCUGUGCUGGUGGAACUCAUUGCUGAUGUCCCCUGGAGUGUCAGCACUGGCUGUUCUAGUUCUUCAAAAGAAGGCCAUUUUCUGAGGUUUCACUCCAAGCAUCUGCAAUGCAAGUUGUUGAGAAUUAGGACUUUGAAGGACAAGGUCUUUGGCAUGCUUGUCCAUUAAAAAGUCUCCAGCGUGUUUGCAUGUUUUCCAAAGGACUUUGGGGAGCAACCUCUUGCUUUCUGCCCAGUGACAAGUGAUGACCUAUUUUCCUCAGUCUCCAAACAGCACUGCGCUCAGCAGAAAUUAAGAGGAAAGGCAUUGCUAACACAGUGUCCAGAUGCGAUGGACUGCAUUGAUAACCAAUGAAUUGGUUCCCCCCCUCCCCCAUGCAAUUAAGAGGUUUUGUUUUAACCAGCCACAAUGAGCUGCAAGACAUUUUGUUUAUCGGCUUAUACUGUAUUUCUGUAGCAUCACACUGGGUAGCCCCGCCCACAGUGGAAUCCCAUUGGCCAAAUCCUGCUCUGCAUAACUGUACUGUAUAUCAAACAUUAAAUAUGUCCUGACUGACUGUGAUUUCAAUUUCAUUGUGGCAGACUGUGCCUGUUAAAGACAUGGUUGUUGUACAAACUUAUGUUGUAUUGAUUAAAUUGACAUCAAAAUGAGGUCAUGAUAAAAUUACAUUUAAAUGGC
rnacentral:lncRNA from 1 species